rnacentral:rRNA from 1 species
GUUGAAGACGACGACGUUGAUAGGUUGGGUGUGUAAGCGCUGUGAGGCGUUGAGCUAACCAAUACUAAUUGCACGUGAGGCUUGACCAU